rnacentral:rRNA from 1 species
GACGGACCGUCCAAACGUUAUUCGGAAUCACUGGGCUUAAAGGGUGCGUAGGCGGCCCGGGAAGUUGGGUGUGAAAGCCCUCGGCUCAACCGAGGAAUUGCGCCCAAAACUGCCGGGCUGGAGGGAGAUAUAGGUGAGCGGAACUUAGGGUGGAGCGGUGAAAUGCGUUGAGGUCCUAAGGAACACCAGUAGCGAAAGCGGCUCACUGGGUCUCUUCUGACGCUGAUGCACGAAAGCUAGGGGAGCGAAGAGG